CCUACGGGAGGCUGCAGUGGGGAAUAUUGCACAAUGGGGGAAACCCUGAUGCAGCGACGCCGCGUGAGUGAAGAAGUCUUUCGGUAUGUAAAGCUCUGUCAGCAGGGAAGAAAAUGACGGUACUUAACCAAGAAGCCCCGGCUAACUGCGUGCCAGCAGCCCCGGUAAUACGUAGGGGGCAAGCGUUAUCCGGAUUUACGGGGUGUAAAGGGAGCGUAGACGGCAUGGCAAGUCUGGAGUGAAAGGCGGGGGCUCAACCCCCGGACUGCUCUGGAAACUGCCAGGCUGGAGUGCAGGAGAGGUAAGUGGAAUUCCUGGUGUAGCGGGGAAAUGCGUAGAUAUUAGGAGGAACACCAGUGGCGAAGGCGGCGUACUGGACUGUAACUGACGUUGAGGCUCGAAAGCGUGGGGAGCAAACAGGAUUAGAUACCCUAGUAGUC
rnacentral:rRNA from 1 species